AGCAGCCGCGGUAAUUCCAGCUCCAAUAGCGUAUAUUAAAGUUGUUGCAGUUAAAAAGCUCGUAGUUGAAUUUCGGGGUCAGUAGGUUGGUCGUGCCACUGGUAUGCACUGGUCUCACUGAUUCCUCCUUCCUGAUGAACCGUAAUGCCAUUAAUUUGGUGUUGCGGGGAAUCUGGACUGUUACUUUGAAAAAGUUAGAGUGUUUAAAGCAGGCUAACGCCUGAAUACAUUAGCAUGGAAUAAUGAAAUAGGACGAUCGAUCCUAUUUUGUUGGUUUCUAGGAUUGACGUAAUGAUUAAUAGGGAUAGUUGGGGGCAUUAGUAUUCAAUUGUCAGAGGUGAAAUUCUUGGAUUUAUUGAAGACUAACUACUGCGAAAGCAUUUGCCAAGGAUGUUUUCAUUAAUCAAGAACGAAAGUUAGGGGAUCGAAGACGAUCAGAUACCGUCGUAGUCUUAACCAUAAACUAUGCCGACUAGGGAUCGGAUGAUGUUAAUUUUUUAAUGA
rnacentral:rRNA from 1 species